rnacentral:lncRNA from 1 species
CGGUGUCUAAAGGCGUAAAAAAACCAUGUCUUUAAUCCGGGGAACCUGGGUUCAAAUCCUUGCCUGCGUGUGCUUCUCUCUUCAUCUGGGCUAAUGGGCUUGGCACGCUGAGCCUCCCGUGGUCACGUCAGUGCCGGUACAGCAGGUCCUGGCUUGCCGUGCCCGGCCCGCUUCUUGGCCUCUUGAAAGAGCAGGGACCCUGCUGCUGCUCAAAGGUCGUCCAGAGACACAGGGGAGCUGGCUCCUGUCUGGGUCCCGCAGUGGGGCACAAGGCCCGUCUUCCUUGGCCUCCUCUUGCCCCCCAACCCCUGCAGGCUCAGCCGUCUCUGGGCCCCACUCUGCCUCUGCUGACCCCCCCGGCCUGGGGAGGGUGCAGAGCAGGAGGGCGGAGGAGGUGGGAGAUGCUGCCGGGGAAGGAGCAGAGCAGGCUGCUCUGAUUGGCUUUGGGGAGGCGGACACUCUGUCUACAUAAAUGGCAAUCACAUCCUCUGUGCCUUUUAACUGUCACCAAGGAGAAGAGAGAGAGACAGAGAACAAGCACCCCGGGCUGCCUGGCGUGUCAACCCCAAAGCUGUUGGGGGUGCCCGGCACCCGUGUUUGCGUCCAGUGCGUUGAGAGGAGCCAGGUCAGGGUCAGAGCCCCGGGUCCUGCCUCUCUGUGUCUCAGCCUUGUUGUGUGUUCAGGAGGAAGAUGCCAGCCCUGGUGAGGUUGCGGAGAUGAACGGAGGACGCGGGCAACGACGAGGCGCUUGUAAGAAUGUGACCGCCCAGGGCUCUUGGGCUUUAGAAUCAAGAGAAAUUGAUCAGAGGCCGGGCAGGAAAAGGCAGGCGAGGCUUUCCUGGAGCCCCUGUGGUAGCAACCAGAGUGAAAACAAACAAUAGACUCCCUGGGGGGACUGGGGGCAGGGGCAGGGGUGAGCUGGUUCCUUAUAUGGGGCCAGCCUAGAGGUGCGUGCAGGGGUCAGAGCAGAGGGUGGCUUAGGUGGCUGCCCACCCCUUUGGGGUGUGUGUGGGGGGCAGCAUUUGUAGAACCUUGCUUUUGCUCUCUGCUCUUCCCCAGUAGCCACUGGGUUUUCAGUUUUUUUGUAUCUUCUUGCCCAUAAUUUGUCCCAAGUGCCCCUUGUCUGUAGUUAUUUUUUUAUUAUUUUUUUUGGAUUUCAUAUGACCUUUUAUGAUACUUGUAUUUCUUUUUUUUUUAAUAAUUUUUUUUUAUUUUCCCACUGUACAGCAAGGGGAUCAGGUUAUCCUUACAUGUAUACAUUACAUUUACAUUUUUUCCCC